UUCAUGGGCGUCAUAAACGAUAGCGUCAAUUUGGUCGUUUGACGAAAUGUAUUAUUUAUUCGAUUGUAAAUAGUCAAAUUAUGUUUUAAUUAAAAAAAUAGUGAUAAUGUGCGUAUGUGUGUAGAUUGUGUUAUGAGUUAUAAAUUGUAAAUAAACAACAGUGAGAAGUGUUAAGUGAAGCUGGAAUUUUCGAGAUUAUUUUCAAAAAGAUUUGCAUGUCUUCAAUAACUUUUUUACACUAAGAUUUUCUAAUUUGAUCAGGAGUUUAACAGCAUUGAGAAAUCUGCCGUAUAUAUUAUGUGAAAUAUUUUAUAGACAUCAAACAUAACAUAACCUAAUUUCUGGCAAGGAGAAUUUUACGCGCAUUCUACUAUCAGGAAAUAAUAAUAUAGUAGAGAGAAAAAAAUCCUACACUUUCAUAUUUAUAAAAGGUAAUAUUGUUGUAAGCGCAGAAAGAAGGGAAACUGGUUUGCUUAGUAAUAAAAUGUUAUCGAAAAGGUUUUUAUCAAAAGUUUUUAACUAAAUAAGUUAUAGAAAGGAAAGAUAUAAAUUUUGACAGAA